rnacentral:rRNA from 1 species
GAUGAACGCUAGCGGCAGGCCUAAUACAUGCAAGCCGAACGGCAAGUCUUUUAGCAAUAGAAGACCUAGAGUGGCGUAAGGGUGCGUAACACGUAUGCAAUCUGCCCUCAACAGGAGGAUAGCUCCCCGAAAGGGGAAUUAAGCCUCCAUAGGAUCGUAAUGUGGCAUCACAUAGCGAUUAAACUACCAGGGGUUGAGGAUGAGCAUGCGCAUGAUUAGCUAGUUGGUGGGGUAAAGGCCUACCAAGGCAACGAUCUGUAGUUGGUCUGAGAGGACGACCAGCCACACUGGGACUGAGACACGGUCCAGACUCCUACGGGAGGCAGCAGUGGGGAAUAUUGGACAAUGGGGGCAACCCUGAUCCAGCCAUGCCGCGUGUGUG